UUACUGCGAAGGGGGGACGGAGAAGGCUAUGUUGGCCGGGCGACGGUUGUCCCGGUUUAAGCGUGUAGGUGUGUGUUCCAGGUAAAUCCGGUUCACUUUAACACUGAGGCGUGACGACGAGGCACUACGGUGCUGAAGCAACAAAUGCCCUGCUUCCAGGAAAAGCCUCUAAGCAUCAGGUAACAUCAAAUCGUACCCCAAACCGACACAGGUGGUCAGGUAGAGAAUACCAAGGCGCUUGAGAGAACUCGGGUGAAGGAACUAGGCAAAAUGGUGCCGUAACUUCGGGAGAAGGCACGCUGACACGUAGGUGAAGUGAUUUACUCAUGGAGCUGAAGUCAGUCGAAGAUACCAGCUGGCUGCAACUGUUUAUUAAAAACACAGCACUGUGCAAACACGAAAGUGGACGUAUACGGUGUGACGCCUGCCCGGUGCCGGAAGGUUAAUUGAUGGGGUCAGCGCAAGCGAAGCUCCUGAUCGAAGCCCCGGUAAACGGCGGCCGUAACUAUAACGGUCCUAAGGUAGCGAAAUUCCUUGUCGGGUAAGUUCCGACCUGCACGAAUGGCGUAAUGAUGGCCAGGCUGUCUCCACCCGAGACUCAGUGAAAUUGAACUCGCUGUGAAGAUGCAGUGUACCCGCGGCAAGACGGAAAGACCCCGUGAACCUUUACUAUAGCUUGACACUGAACAUUGAGCCUUGAUGUGUAGGAUAGGUGGGAGGCUUUGAAGCGUGGACGCCAGUCUGCGUGGAGCCGACCUUGAAAUACCACCCUUUAAUGUUUGAUGUUCUAACGUGGACCCGUGAUCCGGGUUGCGGACAGUGUCUGGUGGGUAGUUUGACUGGGGCGGUCUCCUCCUAAAGAGUAACGGAGGAGCACGAAGGUUGGCUAAUCCUGGUCGGACAUCAGGAGGUUAGUGCAAUGGCAUAAGCCAGCUUGACUGCGAGCGUGACGGCGCGAGCAGGUGCGAAAGCAGGUCAUAGUGAUCCGGUGGUUCUGAAUGGAAGGGCCAUCGCUCAACGGAUAAAAGGUACUCCGGGGAUAACAGGCUGAUACCGCCCAAGAGUUCAUAUCGACGGCGGUGUUUGGCACCUCGAUGUCGGCUCAUCACAUCCUGGGGCUGAAGUAGGUCCCAAGGGUAUGGCUGUUCGCCAUUUAAAGUGGUACGCGAGCUGGGUUUAGAACGUCGUGAGACAGUUCGGUCCCUAUCUGCCGUGGGCGCUGGAGAACUGAGGGGGGCUGCUCCUAGUACGAGAGGACCGGAGUGGACGCAUCACUGGUGUUCGGGUUGUCAUGCCAAUGGCACUGCCCGGUAGCUAAAUGCGGAAGAGAUAAGUGCUGAAAGCAUCUAAGCACGAAACUUGCCCCGAG
rnacentral:rRNA from 1 species